rnacentral:rRNA from 1 species
UUUCCUUCGGGAAAGGGGACAGCGGCAGACGGGUGAGUAACGCGUGGGAACGUACCCAUCGGUUCGGAACAACUCCGGGAAACUGGAGCUAAUACCGGAUACGCCCUUCGGGGGAAAGAUUUAUCGCCGAUGGAUCGGCCCGCGUCUGAUUAGCUUGUUGGUGGGGUAACGGCCUACCAAGGCGACGAUCAGUAGCUGGUCUGAGAGGAUGAUCAGCCACACUGGGACUGAGACACGGCCCAGACUCCUACGGGAGGCAGCAGUGGGGAAUAUUGGACAAUGGGCGCAAGCCUGAUCCAGCCAUGCCGCGUGAGUGAUGACGGCCCUAGGGUUGUAAAGCUCUUUCGGCGGGGAAGAUAAUGACGGUACCCGCAGAAGAAGCCCCGGCUAACUUCGUGCCAGCAGCCGCGGUAAUACGAAGGGGGCUAGCGUUGUUCGGAAUCACUGGGCGUAAAGCGCACGUAGGCGGAUCGUUCAGUCGGGGGUGAAAUCCCGAGGCUCAACCUCGGAACUGCCUCCGAUACUGGCGAUCUUGAGACCGAGAGAGGUGAGUGGAACUCCGAGUGUAGAGGUGAAAUUCGUAGAUAUUCGGAAGAACACCAGUGGCGAAGGCGGCUCACUGGCUCGGUACUGACGCUGAGGUGCGAAAGCGUGGGGAGCGAACAGGAUUAGAUACCCUGGUAGUCCACGCCGU